ACGGGUGAGUAAUGCUUAUCUACUUGCCAAUUAGUGGGGGAUAACCACGGGAAACCGUGGCUAAUACCGCAUUUGUUGCUUCGGUAAUAAAAGGAAAUCGCAAGAUUUUCGCUAAUUGAGAGGGAUAAGUCGUAUUAGUUAGUUGGUGGGGUAAUGGCCUACCAAGACAAUGAUGCGUAGCCGGCCUGAGAGGGUGAUCGGCCACAAGGGAACUGAAACACGGUCCCUACUCCUACGGGAGGCAGAAGUGGGGAAUUUAUGGCAAUGGACGAAAGUCUGACCAAGCAAUACUACGUGAAGGAGGAAGGUCUGCGGAUUGUAAACUUCUAUGUGUAUGUAGAGAUACUUACACUGAAAAAGUCACGACUAACUAUGUGCCAGCAGUCGCGGUAAGACAUAGGUGGCGAACGUUAUCCGGAAUUAUUGGGCGUAAAGGGUGCGUAGAUGGUUUGAAAAGUUAGCGGUGGGAAAUCGAGGCUCAACCUCGUGGAAGUCGCUAAUACUAUCAAACUAGAGUGCAGGAGAGGUUAACGGAACUCAAUGUGGAGCGGUAAAAUGCGUAGAUAUAUUGAAGAACACCAAUAACGGCGAAGGCAGUUAACUAUUCUGUUACUGACGUUGAGGCACGAAAGCGUGGGGAGCAAAAAGGAUUAGAUACCCUUGUAGUCCACGCCCUAAACGAUGAGUGCUAGAUAUUGGAAUUUGAUUUUCAGUGUCGCUAGGUAACCCGGUAAGCACUCCGCCUGGGUAGUACGCUCGCAAGAGUGAAACUCAAAGGAAUUGACGGGGACUCGCACAAGCAGUGGAGCAUGUGGUUUAAUCCGAUACAACGCGUAGAACCUUACCAAGGCUUGACAUGUAAGGUAGCAAUACUAAACUAGAGAAACCUAGUUGAAUUACACAGGUGCUGCAUGGCCGUCGUCAGUUCGUGCCGUGAGGUGUAUGGUUAAGUCCUAUAACGAACGUAACCCUUGUACUUAGUUACCAGCAUUUAGUUGGGGACUCUAAGUAGACUGCAAGGUAUGCUUUUGCAUACCUGAACUGAGUAAUCAGGAGGAAGGAAAGGAUGACGUCUGGUCGUC
rnacentral:rRNA from 1 species